UACGAAGGGGGCUAGCGUUGCUCGGAAUUACUGGGCGUAAAGGGCGCGUAGGCGGCACUGUUAGUCAGGCGUGAAAGUCCUGGGCUCAACCUGGGAACUGCGCUUGAUACGGCAGAGCUAGAGGAUGGAAGAGGCUCGCGGAAUUCCCAGUGUAGAGGUGAAAUUCGUAGAUAUUGGGAAGAACACCGGUGGCGAAGGCGGCGAGCUGGUCCAUUACUGACGCUGAGGCGCGACAGCGUGGGGAGCA
rnacentral:rRNA from 1 species